rnacentral:rRNA from 1 species
GACAGAGGUGCCGAGCGUUAGGCGGAAUCACUGGGCUUAAAGCGUGUGUAGGCGGGUCUGUAAGUACCUUGUGAAAUCCCACGGCUCAACCGUGGAACUGCUUGGUAUACUGCGGGUCUUGAGCCACUUAGGGGCAACCGGAACAAACGGUGGAGCGGUGAAAUGCGUAGAUAUCGUUUGGAACGCCAAUGGUGAAAACAGGUUGCUGGGAGUGUGCUGACGCUGAGACACGAAAGCCAGGGGAGCAAACGGG